CAACCAGACUGGCUUUCAAUAUUCACCCAUCUGAAAAGGUGGUGUCCUUGUUGCUUCCAGGCCAGCAUCGGUUUCGACGGUAGGACAAAAGGACAGUGAAAGUAGCUUUCUCCGGAAAGUGUUAUAGCCCGAGUACAAUGCAACCUGUUGGGACCGAGGAACGCGCUUCGUGCUCGGAGGCUGGCGUAAUGGUUGUCACCGACCCGUCUUGAAACACGGACCAAGGAGUGGAGCAAUUCAGCGAGCGUUAGGGUGUUAAACCCAUAGCGCGUAAUGAAAGUAAACGUAGGUGGGAAGCUUUUGCAGCACCAUCGACCGAUCCAAGUUCGCGAGGAUUUGAGUAAGAGUUGCAUUGUUCCGACCCGAAAGAAGGUGAACUAUUCGUGGAUAAGUUGAAGUCAGAGGAAACUCUGAUGGAGGACUGCAGCGGUUCUGACGUGCAAAUCGAUCGUCAAAUCUGCGAAUAGGGGCGAAAGACUAAUCGAACCUUCUAGUAGCUGGUUCCUGUCGAAGUUUCCCUCAGGAUAGCAGCAACGAUAAACAGUCUCAUGAGGUAGAGCAACGAUUAGAGCCCUUGGGGUUGUAACAACUUUCCCUAUUCUCGAACUCCGAAUAUGUGAGAAGUCCUUGUUACUUUAUUGAACGUAACAUGGGAGACUCAGCAAGAAAAAAAAC
rnacentral:rRNA from 1 species